GAUGAACGCUGGCGGCAUGCCUUACACAUGCAAGUCGAACGGCAGCACGGGGCAACCUGGUGGCGAGUGGCGAACGGGUGAGUAAUGCAUCGGAACGUGCCAUUGAGUGGGGGAUAACGUAGCGAAAGUUGCGCUAAUACCGCAUAUUCUGUGAGCAGGAAAGCAGGGGACCGCAAGGCCUUGCGCUCUUUGAGCGGCCGAUGUCAGAUUAGCUAGUUGGUGAGGUAACGGCUUACCAAGGCGACGAUCUGUAGCGGGUCUGAGAGGAUGAUCCGCCACACUGGAACUGAGACACGGUCCAGACUCCUACGGGAGGCAGCAGUGGGGAAUUUUGGACAAUGGGCGCAAGCCUGAUCCAGCCAUGCCGCGUGA
rnacentral:rRNA from 1 species